rnacentral:lncRNA from 1 species
AACCGAGCGAAUCAAAUGACACAUCACGCUGGUUCAAAAGGAUUAGCUCAAAGACGUCAUGAAUUGGUAAUUUAUUUAUAAUUUAUAUCUAAUUUUUUUAUAUAUUAAUGAAUUAUGUGAAUAUAGAUGCAACAAGGAAGGAGUGAAGUCGAAACUUGGUCAAAGACUUUACAAAUGACAUAUAAGGGAAGCGAUAAAGUUGUAAGUCUUUUUUUAAAAUUAUUUAUAUUUUAUAAUUUCUAUUAUCAUUGUUUGAUUUUGUUAUUCUUUCAGCUUGAAGCCACAAAAUUUAUCAAAAAUCAAGAGGCAAAAUCGUGGGCUGAAUCUGAAACAAUGACUCCAUUUGUAAAUUCCAUUAAUUAUUUUAAAUAUAUUUCGCAUUUCUUAUUUAUUUAUUUUUUUAUAAUGCAGCAAUUUAUCGAAGCGACGGUCAACAAGACUUUCGGAAAAAAUAAG